rnacentral:rRNA from 1 species
UUCGCAAUGCCCGAAAGGGUGACGAAGCGACGCCGCGUGGGUGAGGAAGGCCUUCGGGUUGUAAAGCCCUGUCAGGAGUUAAGAAAUGUAAGUGCGCUAAUACCGCAUUUAUUUGACGAAGGCUCCAAAGGAAGUCACGGCUAACUCUGUGCCAGCAGCCGCGGUAAUACAGAGGUGGCAAGCGUUGUUCGGAAUUAUUGGGCGUAAAGAGCACGUAGGUGGGUUUGUAAGUCAGAUGUGAAAGCCUCCUGUUCAACGGGAGAAUUGCAUCUGAAACUACAGAUCUUGAGUGUAGGAGGGGAGAAUGGAACUUCUGGUGGAGCGGUGAAAUGCGUAGAUAUCAGAAGGAACGCCGGCGGCGAAAGCGAUUCUCUGGCCUAUUACUGACACUCAGUGUGCGAAAGCUAGGGUAGCAAACGGGAUUAGAUACCCCGGUAGUCCUAGCCGUAAACGAUGGGCACUAAGUAGAGGGGUUUUA